rnacentral:rRNA from 1 species
CGCAUCUGUGCAUGCAGCAUAUCAAUAAGCGGAGGAAAAGAAACUAACAAGGAUUCCCCUAGUAACGGCGAGUGAAGCGGGAAGAGCUCAAAUUUGAAAUCUUAAAGGGUUUCCCUUUACGAAUUGUAGUUUAAAGAAGUGUUUUUCUGUUGAGGUUUUGGUAAAAGUUCUUUGGAAUAGGACAUCAUAGAGGGUGAGAAUCCCGUAUUUGACCUUUACUUUCAACUUUGUGAUACACUUUCAAAGAGUCGGAUUGUUUGGGAAUGCAGUCCAAAAUGGGUGGUAAAUUUCAUCUAAAGCUAAAUAUUGGCGAGAGACCGAUAGCGAACAAGUACCGUGAGGGAAAGAUGAAAAGAACUUUGAAAAGAGAGUUAAACAGUACGUGAAAUUGUCAAAAGGGAAGCGUUUGACACCAGUGUUGUUUUUCUGAAAAUCAAUUAAAGAACUGUUUAUGCUAAGUUGUUUAGACUUUAUCAGCUAACUGUUUAGUUUUGAGCUUUUCUUUAAUGCACUUUUCAGUUAACAAGUCAACAUCAAUUUCUUUUGCUGUAAAAAAGCUUGAGGAAGGUGGCUUGAGAUUCGUCUUAAGUGUUUAUAGCCUCUUGCCUAUGCAGUCGGAGAGAUUGAGGUCUGCAGCGUAGAUCCUUCGGGGCUAAAUGCAUUUGUGCUAAGUUAUAGCAUUUUAUAGACAACUUGUUGACUAUGAUUUGUCUUGUAGCUUACUCGCUUAUGUUAUUUUACCUACGCUUAGGAUGUUGAGUCGUAGAGCACGCAG